rnacentral:misc_RNA from 1 species
GAAAUGCGAUAAGUAAUGUGAAUUGCAGAAUUCAGUGAAUCAUCGAAUCUUUGAACGCAUCUUGCGCUCCUUGGUAUUCCUUGGAGCAUGCCUGUUUGAGUAUCAUGAAAUCUUCAAAGUAAAUCUUUUGUUAACUCAAUUGGUUUCUACUUUGGUAUUGGAGGUCUUUGCAGCUUCACACCUGCUCCUCUUUGUUCAUUAGCUGGAUCUCAGUGUUAUGCUUGGUUCGACUCGGCGUGAUAAGUUAUCUAUCGCUGAGGACACUGUAAAAGGUGGCCAAGGUAAAUGCAGAUGAACCGCUUCUAAUAGUCCAUUGACUUGGACAAUACUUUUAUGAUCUGAUCUCAAAUCAGGUAGGACUACCCGCUGAACUUAAGC